UCCUAAACAUCCUUUAUCUUGACAGCGGGCAGACCUCCGAUUCGCUAAGGUAAGAUGACCGGCAGAGGAAUACUCACAAAGACGGACUCGCGAUGAUCAGCAGGAUUUAUCGACCGCGAAGGUACGAGAUGGUUGUAAAUUUGUAAAGAGAUAUUUCGAUGACAUUUCUCUCGAUUCGAAGAGGUGUCGACAGUUGGGCACAUAUUGCUUUUCUCCUCGUACAACGGAAUGAUCUAUGGGAGGGUUUCCUGAAGAAAGAAAGAGAGAAGAAGAGAGUUUAUAAGUUGGUAAUUUGAAGCACGGGACACGUACGCGAAUCCAGAUCUUUGCGGCGCCGAAAUAAAUCAACCACCUACAUUCUCAUCCCUUUUUCGUUUCUUCCCUCUCUUCCUUCCUUCCUUCCUUUCUUCCUUCUCUUUCAUCGUUCUUUCCAAGUUCAAUCUUUACUCACCUUCUUUCUCUCUCUCUCUCUCCUUCUUACUCUUAAAACAACCCUCUUUCUCUUCUCGAUCUUCGCGCAAGCCCGCGGUUAUUUAUUCGAGAAUUAACGUCGCUUAUAAUAAGCCCCUCUUUAUUCUCCACUGGCGUGGCGACCAUGCCGCUAGGCACUGGAACAGAUUUUCCAGUGAUUUAAUGGAGACCAUAGUAAAAAUACCAAGAACCUGAAACUAACAUUUUUAGCCGGCCGAUCGUGCCACCGCGUCAUCUCCUUGAUCGUACUUAUUUCUUUUUGAAAUUUUAAGAAAAAAAAAAGAAACAUAAUUUCUGCCAUAAUUCUUUGAUAUUAAACAUUUUGUUAUCGGAUAAAAUAAAUUCAUUUAAUCGGAAAAGAAAUAUUCUUCUAUACUGAAAUCGUUUUCAUCGAGUAUCGUUACGAUUCAUUGAAUCCAUGAAAUGGAUCUAAUUUUUGUUCAAACUAUGUAACACAAUCCUUCCAAUCGCAACUCGAUUGCCAUUGUUUAUUUUAUGAUUUUCCCAUCUACCAGGUUGGAAUAUGUUUAUUGCAUGGAAACUCGUCGUCCCUUGAUACUCUUUCUCGAGAUUGAUCGAAAAAAAAAAGAAAGAUACAAGAUAAAGUGUAGGAAAAAUUCAAAUCCGAUCCUUUUCUCAAAUCGGUUUGUGUAUCACCUAACCUUCUAGCUAUCGUCUCGCAGAAUGUGAGCAAGGAAGGAUAGGAAGUCCCUCCGAUAAGAAGUAAGAAUUUUCUGCGCGCGCAGGAAAACCCACGCCCGGGGGGUGUGGUCACAACUAUCAUCGCCCCCCCCCCGUUUCACGUAAAAGGGAUGAAUGUGAUCGAGGAAAUAUGAACGAAAAUACGAGGGUAUAAUUGAAGAGGACGGUUUGGAGAACGCGGCAAGUAGUCAAUCCCGAAGAUUAGUCAAACAGAAUUUAAAUGAACAUUCGAUAAAAUAAAGAAAAAGAAACCUAAUUGAGAAAUGUACAAUAAAUAGAUAAAAAUCGAACAGAUUAUUAUGAAAAAUAAUUUAAUAAGAGGAAUAACACGAAAGUAACUUGUUUAGACUAUUCUUUUGUUUCUCUCUUAUUGUUCUGAUCAUCUGGUUGAAUUUUAAAGCGUUGUGAGAAGGGUUGAGGCAACAGUGUAACGCGAUAGGAUGAAAAGAUAAAGUAUAAAUAGGAGAAAAACAAAAAACAGGAAAAAGAAUGAUUAUCUGGUAGAAUAUCUGCUUGUAUCGGGGCUAACAUGAAAGAGAGAGAGAGAAGAAAACGAGGGAACGCUGGCGGACGGGCAUGAUCACGCAUUGAAUCUCAUUGGUGAUAGCCACGAGUGGCGGG
rnacentral:lncRNA from 1 species